CGUGAGCCCCUUGCCUCACACCGGCCCCUCUCACGCCGAGAGAGGUCAGCGUGAGCCCCUUGCCUCACACCGGCCCCUCCCACGCCGAGAGAGGUCAGCGUGAGCCCUUGCCUCACACCGGCCCCUCCCACGCCGAGAGAGGUCAGCGUGAGCCCCUGCCUCAACAGGCCACCGUGAGGGAGGAGCAGGGCCGUACGCAGGCUGCCGGGAGCAGGCAGGGACUUGGCCGCGGGAGGCCGUGGUGGGGCGAGAGCUGGGCCUGGAGACGCCCCUGGGAGGCAACAGCGGGGCCUGCUGACGCUCUUCUGCUGCCAGAGCUGGGACUGUACAGGCCACCGGGAGGCAGGAUGUGGGCCUGAAGAGCUUGGCUGCAGAAACUUCGGGGUCUACAAACGCUGGAGGGAGCUGAGCCAAAAGAGCUUGCCUGCUGGGAGGCAGGAGCUGGGCCGAGAGAUGCAGCCAGGAGGAACAGCUGGGCCUGCAGAGGCCGCCAUGAGGGAGGCAGAGGCCGGGCCUCCUCAAGUCGGCCUCUCCAGACCCACAUGCAGCCUCCCGGCGUCCUCUCCGGGCCCAGCUCUUCCUCCCGGCUGCGUCUCCAGGCCCGACUGCUGCCUCCCAACAACCUCUUUGGACUCAGCGCCUGCCCAUCUCCUGGCGGCCUUGGUCGGCCCACAGCUUCCUCAAGCCAAGCUCCCCAGGCCCAGGUCAGGCCUCACGGUGGCCUCUCCAGGAUCAGCUCCUGCCCUCCGAUGGCGUCUCCAGGCCCCAAACGGUCUCCGGUCGGUGGGCUCCUCCGCGCCCAGCUUGGGCCUCCUGGCGACCUCUGCAGGCCCAAGUCGUCCUGAAGUCGGCGUCUCCCGGCCCUGCCUCCCAGCAAGUAAGCAAGCUCUUUGGGCUCAACUCCUGCCCAGCUCAAAACCGCCUUUGUAGGCCCCGAACUUUCUCGAGCCAAGCUCUUCGCGCCCGCCUACUGCCUCUCGGUGGCCUGUACAGGCCCAGCUCUGGCGGUAGAACAGCCUCUGCAGGUCCCGCUCUUGCCUCCCAGGGGCCUCUCCAGGCCCAGCUCUCGCCCCCACGGCGGCCUCCCGGCAGCCCGCGUGCGGCCCAGUGCCUCCCUCACGGUGGCCUGUUGAUGCCCAACUCAUGCCGCUGGCACCCUGCGCAGAGGCGUGAGUCCCUGCCUCACACUGGCUCCUCCCACGCUGAGAGAGGUCGGCGUGAGCCCCUUGCCUCACACCGGCCCCUCCCACACUGACCCCUUGGCUCACACCGGCCCCUCCCACGCAGAGAGAGGUCAGCGUGAGCCCCUUGCCUCACACCGGCCCCUCUCACGCCGAGAGAGGUCAGCGUGAGCCCCUUGCCUCACACCGGCCCCUCCCACGCCGAGAGAGGUCAGCGUGAGCCCUUGCCUCACACCGGCCCCUCCCACGCCGAGAGAGGUCAGCGUGAGCCCCUGCCUCAACAGGCCACCGUGAGGGAGGAGCAGGGCCGUACGCAGGCUGCCGGGAGCAGGCAGGGACUUGGCCGCGGGAGGCCGUGGUGGGGCGAGAGCUGGGCCUGGAGACGCCCCUGGGAGGCAACAGCGGGGCCUGCUGACGCUCUUCUGCUGCCAGAGCUGGGACUGUACAGGCCACCGGGAGGCAGGAUGUGGGCCUGAAGAGCUUGGCUGCAGAAACUUCGGGGUCUACAAACGCUGGAGGGAGCUGAGCCAAAAGAGCUUGCCUGCUGGGAGGCAGGAGCUGGGCCGAGAGAUGCAGCCAGGAGGAACAGCUGGGCCUGCAGAGGCCGCCAUGAGGGAGGCAGAGGCCGGGCCUCCUCAAGUCGGCCUCUCCAGACCCACAUGCAGCCUCCCGGCGUCCUCUCCGGGCCCAGCUCUUCCUCCCGGCUGCGUCUCCAGGCCCGACUGCUGCCUCCCAACAACCUCUUUGGACUCAGCGCCUGCCCAUCUCCUGGCGGCCUUGGUCGGCCCACAGCUUCCUCAAGCCAAGCUCCCCAGGCCCAGGUCAGGCCUCACGGUGGCCUCUCCAGGAUCAGCUCCUGCCCUCCGAUGGCGUCUCCAGGCCCCAAACGGUCUCCGGUCGGUGGGCUCCUCCGCGCCCAGCUUGGGCCUCCUGGCGACCUCUGCAGGCCCAAGUCGUCCUGAAGUCGGCGUCUCCCGGCCCUGCCUCCCAGCAAGUAAGCAAGCUCUUUGGGCUCAACUCCUGCCCAGCUCAAAACCGCCUUUGUAGGCCCCGAACUUUCUCGAGCCAAGCUCUUCGCGCCCGCCUACUGCCUCUCGGUGGCCUGUACAGGCCCAGCUCUGGCGGUAGAACAGCCUCUGCAGGUCCCGCUCUUGCCUCCCAGGGGCCUCUCCAGGCCCAGCUCUCGCCCCCACGGCGGCCUCCCGGCAGCCCGCGUGCGGCCCAGUUCCUCCCUCACGGUGGCCUGUUGAUGCCCAACUCAUGCCGCUGGCACCCUGCGCAGAGGCGUGAGUCCCUGCCUCACACUGGCUCCUCCCACGCUGAGAGAGGUCGGCGUGAGCCCCUUGCCUCACACCGGCCCCUCCCACACUGACCCCUUGGCUCACACCGGCCCCUCCCACGCAGAGAGAGGUCAGCGUGAGCCCCUUGCCUCACACCGGCCCCUCUCACGCCGAGAGAGGUCAGCGUGAGCCCCUUGCCUCACACUGGCCCCUCCCACGCCGAGAGAGGUCAGCGUGAGCCCCUGCCUCAACAGGCCACCGUGAGGGAGAAGCAGGGCCGUACGCAGGCUGCCGGGAGCAGGCAGGGACUUGGCCGCGGGAGGCCGUGGUGGGGCGAGAGCUGGGCCUGGAGACGCCCCUGGGAGGCAACAGCGGGGCCUGCUGACGC
rnacentral:lncRNA from 1 species